AGGAAAUAUCCAUACCUAUUUCAUCAAUGGCGAACCCUCCUCCGUACACUGGAGAAGCAUCUCAGGAUCCGGUAAUAGUGACAGUUUCUACAUCGACAGUGAGCCAUCCUCAAUCCAUUGGAGAAGCAUCUCAAGCACAGACCCCUUCGUGGUACAGUCAUAACAUGGAUCCAUUUAAGUAUGUCUUCAAGAAAACUCCUAAGAGUGAUAAGGAGAGGAGAGUGAAGACAUUAGCUCCUAGA